GCAGUAGCAGGCGUACUGUCUAGGGGACGGCUGCUCCGCUUUUGCACCCUGCUCUAGGAGGAGGAGGUGGAUGUAGAGUAGGUGGUUGAGGAGAAGAUGGAUGUAGAGUAGGAGGUUGAGGAGGCGGUGACCGUGGCGGCGAUGAAGCAUUCGGAUGUCUGCCCUAUCAACUUUUGAUGUUACUUUCUGCACCUACCAUGGUGACCAUGGGUAAUGGGGAAUCAGGGUUCGAUUCAGGAGAGGGAGCCUGAGAAACAACUACCACAUCCAAGGAAGGCAGCAGGCGUGCAAAUUACCCAUUACCGACGGGGGGAGGUAGUGAC